CUUGACGACUUUUUAAUUAUUAGCGACGAUUUUGCACCGUUAUGAAAAACCAAUAAAAUUCCAACACCAAGGCCUGCUCCCGCACAGCCACUGCCUUCUUGUCUCUUCUUUCUCGUUCAAUCUGUUGCUCCACAAAUACCCUAACACUAUCUCCUUCGCCGACUUACUGUACAGACCGCGGCGGUGAUGGCCUUGUGGCGCCUUGCAGUGCAGCUGUCUGUGGGAACUGGUGCGGAGCAAAGAUCUGCAGGCGGUGAUGGCUUCGCGGCGCCCUUGUAGAGCAUCGGUCCUGGGGCUCUGGUAGCCUUGAAAGCAGAAGUUUGGGAGCGAACGUGACCUUGCAGACAGAGUGGGCGGUGGCAUUGCACAGCAAAGACUGCAGAGCUGGUGAGGUUAUUUAGUACUUUCUAGCAAGACUUGAAGGAAGGGUUUCUAGUGGAGUGGAUCAUGUACUUGAAGGAUUGUUUGGACAAGUUCAAAUGCUUUCUAGCACAAGUUUGGCACUAUUAUCUAUUAGAAAGUUCUCAAGUUGUUGCUUGGGGAUUGGAUGUAGAUCAUGGUUGACUAAUCCAUUAUAAAUCUCUUUUAUAAAUGUUUGUUUGAUUUGUUGGGUGUUUGCAUAAAAACCUUGUGUAUAUCAUCUUUUGUUAUUAUACUUGAAAAAUAACUAAAGUUUGAUUUAAUUUUUUAUCACCUAA